GUGAACGAGCGACACCGCGUACAGGAUGAAGGCCUUCGGGUUGUAAACUGUUGUCACGCUAUAGGAACCACUGUUGGUGAAUAUCCAACAGCCUGACUAAAGCGAGAGGAAGCACCGGCUAACUCUGUGCCAGCAGCCGCGGUAAGACAGAGGGUGCAAACGUUGUUCGGAAUUACUGGGCAUAAAGCGCACGUAGGCGGUCCACUAAGUCAGGUGUGAAAGCCCCCGGCUCAACCGGGGAAUGGCAUUUGAUACUGGUGGACUUGAGGAUGAGAUGGGUGGGCGGAACUCCAGGUGGAGCGGUGAAAUGCGUAGAUAUCUGGAGGAACACCGGUGGCGAAAGCGGCCCACUGGACCAUCACUGACGCUGAGGUGCGAAAGCUAGGGUAGCAAACGGGAUUAGAUACCCCGGUAGUCCUAGCCGUAAACGAU
rnacentral:rRNA from 1 species